CGAGAGAGAGAGAGAGAGAGGACAAGAUGGCGAGGAGUCACAUAGAACGAGGACGUGCUGCACUGGCGUGGCGUGGCGUUGAGGGAAGCGCCUCUUUGUAAUCCUGCCCAGCACUUUACUGAACACAUGAAGGUGCUCCAGAGUUUCAAGAAGGGAGUGGCACACACACACUUUGCUGCACUCCAAGCUUGUGGAGGUCCAGCAGCACACCGCACACUGCUUU